CACGCGCACCAAUCCGUUAUAAAAGUGAGAUCCAUCUCAGGGAUUGUAUUAGGAUCUCUGACAGCAUUUCUUGAAGAUGUCGCGAGUUGUGCUGCUUCUGUGUCUCCUGGUGCUGGUCUCCGCGGCCGUGUCUCUGGACCUGCCCGGCGGCCUCCCCAAGACGCCCGACCUGGGCAAGCUGCCCGACGCCCCUAAACUGCCCGACGCCAACCUGCCCAAGACCUUAGACGACAUGGACGACGGCGACAAGUAGCAACCGCUGACCUAGGGCGUGUUGGUACUUUUGUAAACCUUCGACCAUACGCUUGCCUUAUCGUUUGAAGAUUUAGAUGACCAAGAUGUUUUAGUAAAUAAGUUAUACAUAUAUGUAUUUAUGAAGCAAAUUAAAAGCUGCAGCUAA